UCAAACCGAAAACUAACAAAAUUACCGAGAAAUGCCACCUAAGCGCAAAAGAUUAAGCCUUAGGCAAAAAAUUUUCAUUUUAAAUUCUUUAAAAACAUUGCCAAGAGGCAUAAAAUUAACGAAUCAUCAGUUCGUACAAUUAAACGAAAGGAAAACGCCAUAAGGAAAACUUUUACUGAAUGCGGUUCCAGUAGCCUUACAUAUUCGUUCAACACUAGAGAUGUCGUAAUGGUUAAAGUUGAACGCGCGCUUGUAUGGUGGAUUGAGGACCUCGUCCAUAGAAGAAUUCCUGUGGAUACUAGGUGCAUAAAAGAAAAGGCCACUGUGUUUUAUGAAAAAUUUAAAUGCGAAAAACCAUCUAGUUCAAAUAUGCAAAAUACGAAACAAUUUUGUGCAAGUAAUGGUUGGCUUAGGUGCUUCUUGAAAAGAAACUCGCUGCACAACGUCAAGAUAACAGGCGAAAGUGCAUCGGCAGAUGAAGAGGCAGCAAAAAUUUUCCCGAAAACUUUUUCACACACAAUUAAAGCACAUGGCUAUGUUGCAGACCAAAUUUUCAAUGCGGACGAAACCGGUCUAUACUGGAAGAAAAUGCCCAGCCGCACUUACGUAGCUAAACAAACCAGAUCGGUGCACGGGUUUAAAACAGCAAAGGAGCGUAUCACGCUCUUACUGUGUAGCAAUUCAUCAGGGGACAAGGUUUUAUAACCUCUAUUAGUCAUCAAAAAUUUAAAGCCGCGUGCUUUGAAAGGAAUGGAUCUAAAGAAAUUGCCAGUACAUUGGAUAGCAAACAAAAAGGCUUGGGUGACCGCAUCGCUUUUCAAGGAGUGGUUCGAAAAGUGCUUUGUGCCUGAAGGAAGAGGAUACAUGAUCUCUAAAAACUUGGAAUUUAAAGUGUUGUUAUUAAUUGACCAUGCACCUGGACACCCAGUUAUUGAGCACCCAAACGUCAAAGUGCUAUUUCUUCCCCCAAACACAACAUCUCUUUUGCAACCGCUGGACCAAGGCAUCAUUGCAGCUUUAAAAACUUAUUACAUAAAGCAUUCGUUUAGGUUCAUUUUGAAUAAAUUGGAAAGUAAUUCCGCAAUUAAUAUGAUUUCUGCUUGGAAAGAUUUUAAUGUAAAGUAUUGUAUCGAUUGUAUUAAAAUUGCCGUAAAGGAUAUUACAAAUACCACCCUAAGUAAAUGCUCGAAAAAUCUUUGGCAAGAUGUUGUGUUAGCAGAAGAAAGUGUGAAAGAAUGAAGGACUUGUUACCUACGCGGAAAUAUUUGAAUUAGCCAAAAGCAUCGGCGGAGAAGGUUUUGACGACAUGGAUAUUGACGAUAUUAAUGAACUGUUUGAUCUGUAUGCUCUAGACGAUGCGGAAAUUAUUCAUGCAA